GACGAACGCUGGCGGCGUGCCUAACACAUGCAAGUCGAACGGAAAGGCCCUGCUUUUGUGGGGUGCUCGAGUGGCGAACGGGUGAGUAACACGUGAGUAACCUGCCCUUUACUUUGGGAUAACUUCAGGAAACUGGGGCUAAUACCGGAUAGGAGCUCCUGCUGCAUGGUGGGGGUUGGAACGUUUCGGCGGUUGGGGAUGGACUCGCGGCGUAUCAGCUUGUUGGUGGGGUAGUGGCUUACCAAGGCUUUGACGGGUAGCCGGCCUGAGAGGGUGACCGGCCACAUUGGGACUGAGAUACGGCCCAGACUAGUACGGGAGGCAGAAGUGGAGAAUAUUGCACAAUGGGCGGAAGCCUGAUGCAGCAACGCCGCGUGCGGGAUGACGGGCUUCGGGUUGUAAACCGCUUUCGCCUGUGACGAAGCGUGAGUGACGGUAAUGGGUAAAGAAGCACCGGCUAACUACGUG
rnacentral:rRNA from 1 species